ACUUGUUAAUAGAAAAUAGUUCUUCCCUUAAUCAUCUGCUGAGGAAGGUGUCUGGGGCAGUUCCUUUGGGUGUCACUAUGGCCUCAUCUAUUUCCUGGCAGUAUCUUUUUUUCUCAGUAACCAAGUUUUCCCACUUAAUGAAGAAUUCUUGGGUUUUGGAGAUGAUAUAUGUCUUCAGAACUGGCCCAUACUACAAGUCUAGCAGUUAACCUCUCUCAUGGUCACAGUAUUUCAGUGAGACCUGGUAGGGGAGCAAUAGUAACCCAAAAGACCCAGGCUUGGCCCCAGCACCACAGAUAGCUGGGUGUGAGACCUAGGGCUCACCCCUCUCCCUGAGUCUCCAUUUAUUGUUCUUCCUCUUUCUGAUUUGUUAAAUAUUUUUCAAUUUUUAAGUGCACAAUUGAAAAUGUGAUCUCUUCCAAAACACUUCACAACAUUCCAGGUACACCUAAAGUUCCAUGAAGGGCCUCAGUUUGUUCAUCUCUGAAUGAAAAUUGUUCUUCUAGACCUCUUCUACUCUGCUUUGUCUUUGGUCCUGAGCUUCCUAAAAGAAAG
rnacentral:lncRNA from 1 species